rnacentral:rRNA from 1 species
UACGUAGGGUGCAAGCGUUAAUCGGAAUUACUGGGCGUAAAGCGUGCGCAGGCGGUUUUGUAAGUUUGUCGUGAAAUCCCCGGGCUCAACCUGGGAAUGGCGAUGAAGACUGCAAGGCUAGAAUCUGGCAGAGGGGGUAGAAUUCCACGUGUAGCAGUGAAAUGCGUAGAGAUGUGGAGGAACACCGAUGGCGAAGGCAGCCCCUCGGGUCGA